CAGGGGUACAGGUUAGUAAUGAGACUAUAUACAGGGGGUACAGGUUAGUAAUGAGACUAUAUACAGGGGGUACAUGUUAGUAAUGAGACUAUAUACAGGGGGUACAGGUUAGUAAUGAGACUAUAUACAGGGGGUACAGGUUAGUAAUGAGACUAUAUACAGGGGGUACAGGUUAGUAAUGAGACUAUAUACAGGGGGUACAGGUUAGUAAUGAGACUAUAUACAGGGGGUACAGGUUAGUAAUGAGACUAUAUACAGGGGGUACAGGUUAGUAAUGAGACUAUAUACAGGGGGUACAGGUUAGUAAUGAGACUAUAUACAGGGGGUACAGGUUAGUAAUGAGACUAUAUACAAGGGGUACAGGUUAGUAAUGAGACUAUAUACAGGGGUACAGGUUAGUAAUGAGACUAUAUACAGGGGGUACAGGCUUGUAAUGAGACUAUAUACAAGGGGUACAGGUUAGUAAUGAGACUAUAUACAGGGGUACAGGUUAGUAAUGAGACUAUAUA